GACGAACGCUGGCGGCGUGCCUAAUACAUGCAAGUAGAACGAGUUGCGAACGGGUGAGUAACGCGUGGUAACCUGCCUCAUACCGGGGGACAACGACUGGAAACGGUAGCUAACACCGCAUACCAUCAGAUGCGCCCAGAUGGGAUUAGUCAGUAGGUGGGGUAAUGGCUCACUCAGGCGACGAUCCCUAGCUGGCCGGAGAGGAUGAGCAGCCACACGGGAACGGAGACACGGUCCAGACUCCUACGGGAGGCAGCAGUGGGGAAUAUGGGACAAUGGGCGCAAGCCUGAUGAAGCCAGGCCGCGUGAGGGAAGAAGGCCUUCGUGUUGUAAAGCACUGUCAGCAGAGAGGCGGUACCUAAAGAAGAAGCACCGGCUAACUACGUGCCAGCAGCCGCGGUAAUUC
rnacentral:rRNA from 1 species